AAAAGACACCGAGUAGCAAACGGGUGAGUAACGCGUAGACAACCUGCCGCAAAGAUGGGGACAACAGUCCGAAAGGACUGCUAAUACCGAAUGUUGUCAGAUUCCCGCAUGGGAGACUGAUUAAAGAUGGCCUCUACUUGUAAGCUAUCGCUUUGCGAUGGGUCUGCGUCUGAUUAGCUAGUUGGUGGGGUAACGGCCUACCAAGGCGACGAUCAGUAGCCGGUCUGAGAGGAUGUACGGCCACAUUGGAACUGAGACACGGUCCAGACUCCUACGGGAGGCAGCAGUUGGGGAAUCUUCCGCAAUGGGGCGAAAGCCUGACGGAGCAACGCCGCGUGAGUGAAGAAAGGGUUUCGGCUUCGUAAAGCUCUGUUGACGGGGACGAACGUGCGAGAUGCG
rnacentral:rRNA from 1 species